rnacentral:lncRNA from 1 species
AUGGCAUGUGCCAGCUCAGCAGGAGGUUUCUCCAGAAACAGGCUGGUUUGCUGGUUAUGGGGAAGCAGCCGAGCUGGUGGCUGCCACUGCAACCCUGGUUAUCCCCCUCGGUGGAAAAGGGUCACAGUCAUCCUCAUGUAUACUUGCGCUGAUCCAUACAGCAUGGUGUCGGUGCUGCCCCAGGAGUCUGACUGGAGCAUGUUUCAUUUCCCGAUGAAGGGAGCAGCUGGUAGGGAGAAGGCGCUGGUGGGUGGGUGGUCGAGUGCUGGGCACAGGGUGCCAGCUGCGGCCAUGGGCAUUGAGAGCCCCUUUCCUUGCAGCUCCUCUCACCUUGUGCCGGCUGCCCGCUCCACAGGGUGCUCGUCUUCCAGAGCUUUUAGGGGAUGGGUAGCAGCUGUGAGGAAAGGAAGUGGGUGUGUUGCACGUUUAGGGCAAUUGCAGCCUGCAGUUGCAGCGUGCGGGCUGCUCGGCAAGCACUGUCAGCGUGCAAGGGAUGUGCGCUGGGGGCUCGCGCUGUGUGUCUGGCCAUGCAUCCCUGCUGAGGGUGUAGUGCAGAUGCUGGGAGCAAAGGAGGAAUGGCUGUGUCCCAGUGAGCCAGCCCAGCCUGCCAAAUCCUCAUUUGGAGGAAUGCUUUGUCUUCCUGCCAUUGCUGCUGUGCACGCCCACACGCCUGGCUGGAGGGAUGCGCCAGCAGUCAAGUUUGGGCUGAGGGAUCUCCAGACUGCCAGAUCAGUGGGGAGUUGCUGGGAGACAGUGGGCAAGCUCUGGGACAUGCCUGGGAGGCCCAUGGUGGAGACCACACAGGGCUUGUGCAACGAGCCUAUUUCUACCAUGGACUUACUGGGUUCUUCCCUGGCUCAUUCUCCUGGUGCAGGGGCUGUGCAGGUGGGGUAUGCACAGCCCCACAGUGCCUUGGAGGGAGCUGCCAUGGUCUCUGCCCCACCAGCAUGGCAGGGGCUUGGUGCCACUGGGUUGGCCGGGAGUAGGCACAGCUCCUGUGGGUAUCGCUGCCUGCCCUGCUUCCUGCGUUGUGGGUCCUGCUGCCUGCAGGACACUGAGCUUCACACUCCUGCGGUCCCUUCUCUUGCAGGGGUUUUGAGCAGCUGA